rnacentral:tRNA from 1 species
UCUUAGGUAGCUUAUACAUUAUCAAAGCGUUGAAAUUUUAAUUCAGAAAAGAUUAGAGUCCCUAAGUA